GUGGGGAAUUUUGGACAAUGGGCGCAAGCCUGAUCCAGCAAUGCCGCGUGCAGGAAGAAGGCCUUCUGGUUGUAAACUGCUUUUGUACGGAACGAAACGGUCCGGGUUAAUACCCUGGGCUAAUGACGGUACCGUAAGAAUAAGCACCGGCUAACUACGUGCCAGCAGCCGCGGUAAUACGUAGGGUGCAAGCGUUAAUCGGAAUUACUGGGCGUAAAGCGUGCGCAGGCGGUUUUGUAAGACAGGCGUGAAAGCCCCGGGCUCAACCUGGGAACUGCAUCUGUGACUGCAUUGCUGGAGUGCGGCAGAGGGGGAUGGCAUUCCGCGUGUAGCAGUGAAAUGCGUAGAUAUGCGGAGGAACACCGAUGGCGAAGGCAAUCCCCUGGGCCUGCACUGACGCUCAUGCACGAAAGCGUGGGGAGCAAACAGGAUUAGAUACCCCAGUAGUC
rnacentral:rRNA from 1 species